AUCCAACUGACGAGUUUCAAAUAGGAUGAAACGCGCGUCCUGGAU
rfam:Schistosoma mattheei strain Denwood, Zambia genome assembly, scaffold: SMTD_scaffold0003989